rnacentral:rRNA from 1 species
GGAUGAACGCUAGCGGCAGGCCUAACACAUGCAAGUCGAGGGGUAACAGAGAAAAGCUUGCUUUUUUGCUGACGACCGGCGCACGGGUGCGUAACGCGUAUACAAUCUACCUUUUACUGGGAGAUAGCCUUUGGAAACGAAGAUUAAUAUCCCAUAGUAUGUUUACUUCGCAUGGAGUAGAUAUUAUAAAGAUUACGGUAAAAGAUGAGUAUGCGUCCUAUUAGCUAGAUGGUAAGGUAACGGCUUACCAUGGCAACGAUAGGUAGGGGCCCUGAGAGGGGGAUCCCCCACACUGGUACUGAGACACGGACCAGACUCCUACGGGAGGCAGCAGUGAGGAAUAUUGGACAAUGGAGGCAACUCUGAUCCAGCCAUGCCGCGUGCAGGAAGACUGCCCUAUGGGUUGUAAACUACUUUUAUAUAGGAAGAAACCUCUUUAUUUAUAAAGAGCUGACGGUACUAUAAGAAUAAGCAUCGGCUAACUCCGUGCCAGCAGCCGCGGUAAUACGGAGGAUCCAAGCGUUAUCCGGAAUCAUUGGGUUUAAAGGGUCCGUAGGUGGAUGAUUAAGUCAGAGGUGAAAUCCUGCAGCUCAACUGUAGAAUUGCCUUUGAAACUGGUUAUCUUGAGUUAUUAUGAAGUAGUUAGAAUAUGUAGUGUAGCGGUGAAAUGCAUAGAUAUUACAUAGAAUACCGAUUGCGAAGGCAGAUUACUAAUAAUAUACUGACACUGAGGGACGAAAGCGUGGGGAGCGAACAGGAUUAGAUCCCCUGGUAGUCCGCGCCGUAAACGAUGGUCACUAGCUGUUCGGAACUUGUUUCUGAGCUCAGUGAUUAAGAGAAAUUGAUAAGUGACCCACCUGGGGAGUACGAUCGCAAGAUUGAAACUCAAAGGAAUUGACGGGGGCCCGCACAAGCGGUGGAGCAUGUGGUUUAAUUCGAUGAUACGCGAGGAACCUUACCAGGGCUUAAAUGUAAGUUGCAUAAGCUAGAGAUAGCUUUUUCUUCGGACCACUUACAAGGUGCUGCAUGGUUGUCGUCAGCUCGUGCCGUGAGGUGUCAGGUUAAGUCCUAUAACGAGCGCAACCCCUACCGUUAGUUGCCAGCAUGUAAAGAUGGGGACUCUAGCGGGACUGCCGGUGCAAACCGAGAGGAAGGUGGGGAUGACGUCAAAUCAUCACGGCCCUUACGUCCUGGGCUACACACGUGCUACAAUGGUAUAUACAGAGAGCAGCCACACCGUAAGGUGGAGCGAAUCUACAAAACCGGUCUCAGUUCGGAUCGGGGUCUGCAACUCGACCCCGUGAAGCUGGAAUCGCUAGUAAUCGGAUAUCAGCCAAGGUCCGGUGAAUACGUUCCCGGGCCUUGUACACACCGCCCGUCAAGCCAUGGAAGCUGGGGGUGCCUGAAGUCGGUGACCGAAAGGAGCUGCCUAGGGUAAAACUAGUGACUGGGGU